AUGCUCCUGUGUAAGAAUUUCUUUAUUGAAGAUUACUCUUGUGUCUUGUGCAACAGGAAAACGCUAAAAACCCUAGACCAUUUGUUCUUCCACUGCCCAUUUGCUCGGACGUGCUGGUCAUAUCUCUGUUCAAAUUGGGUACCAUCACCAGGAUAUACAGGCAGAUAUCUCUUCUUUAAAGACGCAGCUGGGAUUGCCAUCUCCCUGGAAAUUAUCAUCUUAGCCUCCUGGGCCAUCUGGAACACCAGAAGUGAUUUGAUGUUCAAAGGCAUCACACCAAGCCUCUACAGCUGCAGAAGAAGAUUUAAACAGGAGCUCAACUGGCUGGUCCACCCAGCUAAGAAGAUAUCUUGCUAA
rnacentral:rRNA from 1 species